rnacentral:rRNA from 1 species
GAUCCUGGCUCAGGAUGAACGCUAGCUACAGGCUUAACACAUGCAAGUCGAGGGGCAGCAUGACCUAGCAAUAGGUUGAUGGCGACCGGCGCACGGGUGAGUAACACGUAUCCAACCUACCGGUUAUUCCGGGAUAGCCUUUCGAAAGAAAGAUUAAUACCGGAUAGUAUAACGAGAAGGCAUCUUUUUGUUAUUAAAGAAUUUCGAUGGUUAGAGAUGGGCAUGCGUUGUAUUAGCUAGUUGGUGGGGUAACGG